rnacentral:lncRNA from 10 species
CCUGCCUUGGCCUCUGAAAGUACUGGGAUUACAGGAGUGAAGCACCGCAACUGGCCCCUUUCUUGUUUCACCACAGGUGCUGAGAUGAUCUGGGUGAACCUGACCCAAUCAGGUAAGCGCUUUAAAACCAAGAAUUUUUGCUGUCUAGUGGUAGAAGGGGAAGGUAGAUUCCUAACACCAAAAUGCUUUAAUAUGCUAUUGCUAGUUUGAAGAUGGAGAGGCUCCAUGUGACAAGAAAUGAAAAUGACCUCAAUAAGCUGAGAGCAGCUUGUGCUGUUAGCUAGCAAAAGACUUCAAUCAUAAACCUGCCAGGAACGGAAUUCUGCCAACAACCUGAAUGAACUGGAUUCAUCCCCACUUAUUCAUGCUUUUCUGUAUCCUUAUG